GUAUAUGAAAUCUAUGAAAACAAAAAAUCAUGGCGGUACUUCAAGCUUUUCAGAGGAAUUUGCUCUUUAAUGGAUAAAACACCUAAAUCUUACUGAAAUUAGCCUAUUCAGUUUGUAUACCACUAUAAAAGUAAUAAUUAGUUAUUAAUUACUUUAAUUUUUAUUUAAAAAAUAAAUUAAGUCAUGGUGCAGCUAAAAUUUUAGAAUGAAGUGAAUUACAUUUCUUUUUAGAGAUUUUUCAAUGAAAAAUCUUGGUUAGGAUUUGAAAGUAAAGGUAUAAUAGAAUGAUAUUUUGAAUUAAGUUCUGAAGUAUGUAC
rnacentral:rRNA from 1 species